UCCCGGUUAACCCGGGCAGUCUCAUUAGAGUUCCCACCAUUACGUGUUGGCAACUAAUGAUAAGGGUUGCGCUCGUUGCGGGACUUAACCCAACACCUCACGGCACGAGCUGACGACAGCCAUGCAGCACCUGUACAGCGGUCCCGAAGGAAGAUGCCAUUUCUGGCACUGUCCACUGUAUGUCAAGCCUGGGUAAGGUUCUUCGCGUUGCAUCGAAUUAAACCACAUGCUCCACUGCUUGUGCGGGUCCCCGUCAAUUCUUUUGAGUUUCACCCUUGCGAGCGUACUUCCCAGGCGGUAUACUUAUCGCGUUGGCUUCGGCACAGCCGGGGUUGAGUCCAGCUACACCAAGUAUACAUCGUUUACGGCAAGGACUAC
rnacentral:misc_RNA from 1 species